CAACCCAAUACAAGCACCAACUAAACCUCCAUUUCGUUGGUGUACACCCAUCAAAAAGUGCAUCCUCCCAAAUUCUCUCAAUGUAGGAGAGAUGAAUACUCAACAGACUCUGGCCUCUGCUUUUGCUCCUUCCUUCCUGUGGGCCACUUUGAUGCGUUCUUCUCUUUAGCCACCUUCCAUCCAUGCAACAGGGAAUCAAAUCUUAACUUUUUUUAUUUCCAAGCACCACCAUUCCUUUUCCAUUUCAUUGACCAAGAUUGGACAUAAAUGCCCCAUGGGACCUCCUCAAGGUCGCUGCUUAGGCGCCCCCUGGGCAUGGCGAAUUGGAGAGCAGAGCAUGCCCAACAUAUGGCGCUCGCUUGACGCCAUGGACCACCAGGAGGGAGGCUGGAAUGGAGGAGCUGGCCUCAUAUUCUCCCUCCGGUUUGAUCCCAUGAGGGCGGUCUUCGAUCGUACUCUGGCCAGCUUCCCUGUUUCCGCGCUGAUUAGCCGCCUUCUUGGAUGGAGCAAGAGCAGUGGCCAAGGGACGCCGAAGGGAUCCGUGAUGGUCGCUGCCGCCGUUGCACUUUACGCGGCUGCGCUCUUUGUUUCAGAUCAGCAGCCUCGCCGGCGACGCCUGGCUGCUUCUGCUGCUGCAGCUAGGCCAACUUCUGCAACCAGACCUCGUGCUCUGCCUACGCCGGACGAUGGGCUCAGAAUUGUGGCAUCGGAUGAUGAAUAUCUGGAAAACGUGAUCCACAGCGCGUCAAUCGGUGCCGGGGACGAUGAGCCAGUUCUGGUGGCAAGAGUUCACACCAUGCCACCCGACGUGGCUGGAGCAACCUCUGCAUGGGAAACGGAGCACGAUAAGCUGGAGAAGGAGGAGGUCGAACGAUUCAAGGAGCUGUGGCUGUCGCUCGUGGAGCGGGAGCAGAGGCUGGAGCUCCGGCUGAUGGACCUCGACGGCCUUAUAGAGCAGGAGGCCACCGUGAAAGAGCUCGAGAACCGCCUCGGCCUCGCCGCCGUGGAGGCGCGGCUCCUGGAGCUCAAGGUCUUGUCGCUGCGUGAGGAGAACGAGAGGCUCAAGGACCAGGCGGCGGAGCUGGAGGCCGUCCGGGCUCAGCUGGGUCGCGCCAAGGAGAAGCUGCGGGCGCUCAAGGAGCGGGUGAAGGUCGAGCGGGAGGAGUCUCAGAGCGAGGCGGCGAUGCUCCGGGACAAGGUGAUGGGGCUGGAAAAGACCGGCGAGCAGAGGGAGAGGGUGCUGGCGGCGGAGGCGGCGGAGCUACGGAGGGCCAAGGCCGCGCUGGAGGAGGGGAACAGGGAGCUUGCUCAGAGGUUGCAGGAUGCGGAGCACGUCUCCUCCGCUGUUACUCUGGUUCGUGAGGACGACAUCGUUGACGAGGCAAACUACCUGAGGGAGGCGAACGAUCGGCUGACGAGGCAGAUCGAGCAGCUACACAGCGACCACUGCGCCCACGUCGAGGAGCUCGUCUACCUCAAGUGGGUCAACGCCUGCCUCCGCCACGACCUCCGUAGCGGCGACCACCACCCCUCGUCCGCUCAGCAGGAUCAGGACGGGGUUGCCAGCGCAAUGCCGUCGGCCAUGGAUCUCAGCAAGAGCAUGAGCUACCGCUCCAGCGAGAAGGCCAAGGAGCUCAUGCUCCAGUAUGGCAGCCUCGGCCUCGACGGCUACGACCCCGCGCUCUUCUCGCCGCUCAACGACUCCAUGUACGGCGACGGCGAAAGUCACCAGCAGCAUGUUGGAGAUCAGCACGAGCCAGGGCGGAGUCCGGUCGUGCCGUCGCCGGCCGCGGCCGCGCCCGAGAAUCGGGCCGGGCAUGGCAAGCUCAAGUUUCUGAGGAAUAUCAAGAAGCUGCUAGCGAGCAGCAGAAGGAGCCACGGCCACGACCGCAAGAGCAAGAAGGCCGCGCCGGACGACGAUCAUCUGGAGAAGGCGAUGCGGUGGCUGUCCUCCAGCAAUCAAGACGCGCUCGGCGGAGACAGCUCGUACGAGAGCACGCCGCUGUCGUCGUGCGACCGGACGCCGCUGAGCAGCGUGACGACCGUGGACUUGCACGCCCGUGCGCGCGCCGGGGAGGCGCCCUCCACGCCGAGGCUGGAGGCGAAGACUCGGCUGGCGAGGUCCAAGAGCGACAAUGGCGCCUCCUUCAGGCGGGAGGCGACCAGGUACCACGCUCUCCGGCCGGACCGCCCGGCCGGUCCCGGGACAGACGGGUUCCACUCGCCCGAGAAGAAUAGAAGGUACUCAGACGAGUUGAGAAGCUCCUGAUCAAUACUCCUAUGUUGGUGCAUGGGACGCUCUCCUGCACCCUGCAGGGUAAUGUUUUUGCACAAUAAACUUAUUAACAGCAACAGGUGGCUCAUCAAACCACGGCCUUCGGAGUGCCGCCGCGACGGCUGGCGUCCUUGCCACCAUCCCCGGGCCACCGCGCGAUGAGGAAAGGGAGAGGUCAGCGAUGAGAAAAAGGAGUCGUCGGCGACGUAGAGCGAGCGAGUGGAUCGGGUGGGAGAGUAAAACUGGAAAAUGGUGAGAGGUGACGGAUAAAGCGAGUGAGCCAUGCGAGAGCGAGCGAGUGGAUCGGGUGGGAGAGUAAAACUGGAAAAUGGUAUUUUUUUUUCUAAUGUGGCAGAGUUUGCACUGGGUUUUUAAAAAAAAGAAGAGAGGAAGUAGUACAAAAAAAAGUGAUAAAUUUCAUAUGGACGUCUUCUCACGCUACGACGUGGCUAUAGCCAUUUUUUUAUAAAUUUACAGAACUAUUGUACA